GUAGGUGGCAAGCGUUGUCCGGAAUUAUUGGGCGUAAAGCGCGCGCAGGCGGUUCUUUAAGUCUGAUGUGAAAGCCCACGGCUCAACCGUGGAGGGUCAUUGGAAACUGGAGAACUUGAGUACAGAAGAGGAAAGCGGAAUUCCACGUGUAGCGGUGAAAUGCGUAGAGAUGUGGAGGAACACCAGUGGCGAAGGCGGCUUUCUGGUCUGUAACUGACGCUGAGGCGCGAAAGCGUGGGGGAGCAAACAGGAUUAGAUACCCUGGUAGUCCGACGCCGUAAACGAUGAGUGCUAAGUGUUAGGGGGUUUCCGCCCCUUAGUGCUGCAGCUAACGCAUUAAGCACUCCGCCUGGGAGUACGGCCGCAAGGCUG
rnacentral:rRNA from 1 species